rnacentral:lncRNA from 1 species
CUAAUUUGAGACUCUAUACGAAAAAAUCUAGUUAAAAUAAUUUAUAAAAUAUUUAAAUUAAAAUAAAUUUAAAAUAUAAACUUACUAAUGCAUGAGAGUUGGCUUCAAAAGAAGCCGAUCCACCCUUGUACACCAAAUAAUCGUCGUUUUUAGUUCGAUUUGCUGAAUUCUUUUUUUAUUUUUCUACGAACUCUGGUGCCAAAAACUUGUCCAUCAUUAGUCCCCAUUUUUCUUUUGUAAUGUAUGUUGGAGGGAAAUCUUUGCAAGUCUCGUCAAGUUCUGAGACACCAGUAUUUCUCUUUGCAUCCAGUCUUGCUUUGCUAAGCCAUUUUGGAUAAUUAAUAGUCAGNN